UGGGAUGUCCACUUCCAAGGCAGCUUACUCACAUGCACAAGCAGGGGGAGCAGCAGGCUCCCUGCUGAACAGAGAGCCUGAUGUGGGGCUUGACCCCAAGACCCUGGGAUCAUGACUUGGGCCACCCCGGUGCCCGGCCAGUAAGUUUUUGACCAGAGGCCUCAAUUCCUUGCCUCAUGGAUGUUUCCAUAAGGCUACUUGGGUGUUUCCAUGACGUGAAAGCAAGUGAUCCAGGGGAAGCAAAGCGGAAGUCACAAUGCCUUUUAUGACCUAACGUUGGAAGUCACACAUUGUAAUUGUCACAGAUUGUCACAGGUCUGCCUUACUCAGUGAGGCAGGGGACUUCACAAGGGAAUGACUGAAUACCAGGAGGCUAGAAUCAUUGUGGCCAUUUGGGAGGAUCAGAACUAUCAUGAUUGUGGAGGCCAAGUGGAGGCCUCUGUACCUGUUUCCAUCCCUGGUCAAAAUAAUACCGUUUGGAUUCACAUGGAGCAGACAACAGUAUGCAUUUCCCAUUGCUCCAGGGUUGUACCUUUCCAGUCUGUCAUAGUUCACGUACCACCUGGGUAUCUGAAGAACAUUGUGCCGAUUUGCUCCUCUGAUAGCUUGUCAAUGGAGUUAGAUUACAGGAAAUGUCUGGCACAUUGGAAGCCUUGGUAAGAAACGUGCAUUCCAUUGUUGGAGAAGAUGCCUGUGAAGAUUCGAUUAUCUGCCACAUGAGAACAAUUUUGAGUGCCCCAACAGUUGGGGACAUGCUGGGUCCUAUCAUCCAAAGUAAAACAUGAGUUAUACCACUUGAAUCUCCUGCAGAGAAGGAAGCACAAUGCCUGAGAGGACUUUUCAGGUUUUGGAGACAACAUAUUCCACAUCUCAGAACACUCUCUGCCUUGUAUACCAGGUGACACAAAAGACUGCCACUUAAAAAAAAAAAAGGUUUUAUUUGUUAAAGAAGGAGAGCACAGGGCAGGAGCAGAGGGAGAGGGAGAAGCAGGUUCCCUGCUGAGCACGGAUCCCAACACCGGGCACGAUCCCAGGACAUUGAGAUCACAACCUGAGCCAAAGUUCCCAAUGCAGGGCUCCAUUCUAGGACGUUGAGAUCACGACCUGACCAAAGUCAGACUCUUAACUGACUGAACCCAAAAAGACUUCGACUUUUGAGUGUAUCCCAGAAUAGGAAAGUUCUCUGCAGAGCAGCAGAGUCUAAGCUGCAGUUGAAAGCAGCCUUGUUACUUGGGCAUAAGACUGAGCAGAUCUCAGAAGAUUGGGUGUAUCAUGGGUAGGGAACGAUACCUUCCAGGAGUCUGGAGCAAACCCAUGCUGUCCACAGAGGUGGCUCGGAUAUGUUUCAUAAAGCCGUUCCUGUAAUGCUGCUGGGCCCUGGUGGAAGACCGUUGGACAUGACAUGACCGCAUGCCCAGAACUGCAUCUUGUGAGGUAAGUUCUGUCAAACCCACCAAGUGAUAACGUUGGUUAGGUUCCACAACUAUCCACUGGUGAGCGGAGGAGUCCCACAGAGUUAGAAGCCACGGCUGCCACCUGAAGACUUUAUCCUCUUUGUGUCUAGCACCGAGUUGGCAAGCAAAGGAGCCCCCAUUCUUGGUUGGAGUGAAUGACCCAGGUUAGGAAAGGAUAGGGCUGCUUUUAAACCGGGACAUAGAAGGACGCCUGGGUGGCUCAGCAGUUAAGCACCUGCCUUCAGCUCAUGGCGUGAUCCUGCACUUCUUGGAUCAAGUCCCACAUCGGGCUCCCCGAGGGAAAUCUUCUCCCUCUGCCUCUGUCUCUGCCUCUCUUUCUGUGUCUCUCAUGAAUAAAUAAAUAAAAUCGGAAAAAAAUUAAAACCA
rnacentral:lncRNA from 12 species